rnacentral:rRNA from 1 species
GAUGAACGCUGGCGGCGUGCUUAACACAUGCAAGUCGAACGAAGCACUCUAUUUGAUUUUCUUCGGAGAUGAAGAUUUUGUGACUGAGUGGCGGACGGGUGAGUAACGCGUGGGUAACCUGCCUCAUACAGGGGGAUAACAGUUGGAAACGACUGCUAAUACCGCAUAAGCGCACAGGAUCGCAUGGUUCGGUGUGAAAAACUCCGGUGGUAUGAGAUGGACCCGCGUCUGAUUAGCCAGUUGGCAGGGUAACGGCCUACCAAAGCGACGAUCAGUAGCCGACCUGAGAGGGUGACCGGCCACAUUGGGACUGAGACACGGCCCAAACUCCUACGGGAGGCAGCAGUGGGGAAUAUUGCACAAUGGGGGAAACCCUGAUGCAGCGACGCCGCGUGAGCGAAGAAGUAUUUCGGUAUGUAAAGCUCUAUCAGCAGGGAAGAAGAAUGACGGUACCUGACUAAGAAGCACCGGC